rnacentral:rRNA from 1 species
AUGUCCUCCGCGGAGCACUGUACUCAGAUUCAGGACAUUGUAGUUGCCAUCGAGGUCGGCUCAAAUCCAACACGUUCAGAAGUCAAUGUAUCCAAAGAUUUAUUGGCGAACACGUUGGCGAGCGUGACAUCCGCAGUUCCUACAAGAUGUGACUACAGUAAGGCGAGGCCGACCAUUUACAAGGUACCCAAAGAACUUAAAAGGGGUGAUGAGGACGAAGGCUAUGAGCCGGUCGCUGUUAGCAUAGGCCCCUUUACAAAGAGCGUAAACAGCACGGCGCAGCUGGAGAACUACAAAUGGUGCUGCGUGCGGCAACUUUUGAGCUCGCACCAAAACCACCCUGACAGUGACGUCCCCGAGGGGCUGCUAAAGAGUUGCCUGGAGAACAUGAAGCGUCUGGAGCCAGAUAUUCGGGCGGCCUACUCUGAAGACGUUGAGGGCGACAGCGAUGUCCUGGCAGUCAGCAUGCUACUCGAUGGCUGUUUCAUCCUCCAGCGCUUGCUCAAGGCCACACGCGUCGGGGAAAAGGAAGCAACUUCAGUCGGCUCGGAGAACCGAUCAAUGAAAAGAGGAUUUCCCUCAAGCUUCUUCGAGUCGUCCCUAGGGAGUACAAGCAGUAGGCAGGAGAACAUUGCUCAAGACGACGACUGGACGCAGGUUUUUGGCAGGGUCAGGGUGUGGCAAUUAGUGGCAACCGACCUACUGCUGCUCGAGAAUCAGAUCCCUUUCUUUGUGCUGAUUAAGCUAUUUGAGCUGCUCUGGAGUGGUGACGGUGAGCCCCAAGACACCCUCGUCAAGGGCAGCCUCCGGCUUUUCCGAUCUCUAUGUCCCCACAUGCUGCAACGUUCAGCUGCUAAUUCAGAAAUUGAUUACCGCGGCGUGCACGUGCACCACCUGCUGCACCUCUUCUACCUCUCCGUCAUCCAAGACCAGGCACCUCCUAACAACUUCGAUCAAUCAGUUUCUCUUUUUGUGUUGGAUUUGGAUCUCCCGCAGUGGAUGCCGUGUGCCAAGGAGUUGAUGGAAGCUGGGGUAAAGUUCAGAAAGGGAAAGAAGGAGGACAGUUUCCUGGACAUCAAGUUCAACAGCCACAAGGGCAUCCUGAAGAUACCACCCCUGAGGUUCUAUGAUUUCAGCGACAAGCUGUUCCGGAACCUGAUCGCCUUCGAGCAGACCUAUCCAGACACCUCGGGUGACAUCACCACAUAUGCUAUCUUCAUGGACUGCCUCGUCAACACGCCAGAGGACAUGCUCAUCCUGCACCUGCGUCACAUUAUUGUCAACCAGAUAAACGUCGAGCAGGACGCCAGCCGCUUCUUCAACACCAACUGCGCACAGGUUGUGCGCUCGUCGCGUUACAACGAGUACCUCAAAAAUCUGAUGAAGGAUGUGAAUGAUUACAGGGGAUCCAGGCUGAACAAGUGGCGCGCAACGCUUGCGCGCAAGUACUUCAGAAACCCUUGUGUGACCAUGUCGGUGCUGGCUGGCGUGCUCUUGCUCAACAUGACUAUGCUGCAGACCUUCUUUACAGUCUAUCCCUACUUCUACCCUCCAAAGUAA